rnacentral:piRNA from 1 species
UGGAAACAAAGAUUUCCCUGUGAGC